GGAAUGAGUAAAGCCAAGGGCUGUUGCUGGCAAACACUCUGGGGGCCUCGUCCCUUCCUCCUGUAAGAACAACCCCAGAUUACCCCCAACAAUAAAACCUGUUAACUUAUACAACUUUGCUUAAGAAACAAGCCUGAUGGGAUGUUGGCAGACUUCCCUGCUGCCAAGCAAGAACUAUUGCGGGCAGCCGCGAGCUUCUCAGGAUUUAAGCCCGUGAUGGAAUGGUAAACGAGGGAGCAGACUGUUUAUUCCAGCAGCCAGAUUGUCUCUGGCCAUAAAGUUCUGUGUUUGGAAAGUUUUUUUCUUCCCAGUAUAUUAAAAAAAAAAAAAAAAAAGCAUCCCAGAGAAAGGAAGAGAAGGAAGACGGCAGCUAGAACCGGAAGUACAAGGAAGAAAAGAGAGGAGGGAGGAUAUUUAAAAUCAAGACUAAGGGACGGGGUUUUAACUAGUUUGGAAUUUGAGUUGCUAAGUGACAUAUAUUUUAAAUCAUCUCUUUACCAACAGCCUCACUGCAAUUCACCUUGAAAGUAGAGCAAAUAGAAACUCAGAGUGAAAUCAGACCACCACAGCACCCAACAACACCGUUGAAACAUGUGAGCCCUCCCACGCGAACCACAACAGAUGAACUUGGCGAAGGUUGGCAUCCUAUUAAUGGAGAAGGCGAGACCAGACCAUCUUCUGCCUAGAGCAGAGUUAUGCUUUUCAAUAAGGCAGCCAGCUCAGGGCUGCAGCUCCUCUCUGCUUCCCCACUGUAAGAAUAAGAGAAAGGCUCCUUGGAACUGGAUAUCUAAAAGUUUCUUGGAACUUUGAUGAGGUAGUUUCUAGAAGCAGCUGUUUAACUUCAGCAAUUUCUUGGUGCCUCCUUGCCCAUACCAUGACUACUGGGUUGCCCUAAAAGCUGUUCCAAGAAUUGGGGAGAAAAUAAAACUAAACAGAAAGACCCUGAAACGUAUCAAGGAACUUAGCACUUUAUGAUAUUUUAGCAAAAUAAGUUGAGGAGCUUACAACAGAUAGAAACCAAGUUGUUUAUCUUGAAACAAUAUCAGCCUCGCUUGGGAACAGUGCCCCAAUAUUCCUGGGCCUGCUCCGGGGCUCAAAAUGUGGGCAACCAAAGCACUGAAGAAUUGGGUAAUGCCGUCCCACAUAUAGAACCUCUCCUGGAUGCCCAGCAUGGGCU
ensembl:lncRNA